UCACAUAGCGUGGUAAACAGCUAGAUGUCUGCUGCUCUGCAGUCAUUUCAAAUGUUCGCUGACUUUUUGUGUGUUCUCCUCUGCCUCUUAGGAAGAUGUUUUUUGCUGGAGAUUCUGUGGAUCUUUUGUGCCUCCGGCUAAUUCUUGCCAUGUUCUGAGGAUCAAGGUAAUUCAAGCCUUAAUGUCUCAGCUGUGAGCCUCCACUCUAUCUCCUUCCUGGACCCAGGUUUCUGGAGCUUCAUUCUCCUGUCUCUGAGAACCAUCCACCUGCCUGUCCACCCUCCCACAGAAAUACGCCUUUUUUAUGGAAAGGAUCAAAAACAAAGAAACACUGAGUAUGAAGAACCUGGAAACCCUUUCCCUUCAACUGCACCCAUCUGCCAACCUCAACCAUCGUGGAACAGAAUUAUUCCUCCCAGGUUUAUCUGACAGUUCUGCCUUUUGAGACCCCAAUCCUGUCGCUGACCCAGUCCUGGUUCCAGAUCACAUUUACUCCUGUAAAACCUAAUAAACUGUUUAAAACGA